GGGUGUGUAGUCUAGUGGUUAUGAUUUUUCCUUUACAACUUCUGAAGUUGAAAUCGGAAAGGGUCCUCAGUUCGAUCCUGAGCACGCUCA